CAGAACAUAGCUUAAAUAAAAGUUACUUGCUUACACCAAGUUGAUGCCCCUUAACCCGGACUGUCCUGAG
rnacentral:tRNA from 1 species